rnacentral:lncRNA from 10 species
CAAGAACUUUCUUCUUACACUACCAAGUUGGAGGUGCGUCCUCCUUUUGCCAGACCUCCUCUUGUGCCUCUUGCUGUAUGCAGAGCGUCGUGAUGACAGCUCGUCAAGCUUUCCAAUUUGAGUCUUCAGCUAUCCAGAAGCUGUGAAGGGGCAGCCCCGUCACCAGACACAAUCCUUGCAAAGGGACAGCCUCCAUCAGCCUCCAUGGAAGACUGACAGACCCACACAGGGGAGAAUAAAUCAACCUGCAAAUGAAGCAUUCAGCCAGCUUGGGAGUUCUGCUUUCCAUUUUAAAUUAAUACACCGGCCUUCUGCAGGACCAACCCCUGACCCUCCUCCUCCUCCUCAGUUGGCUCAGUGUGAAGUCGGCGAGAAUGAAGACCUUCGUGAUGAUCCACUUCCACAUAAUGAAUAAUAAAUAUAUUCUCUCUUUCUUAUAAUUUUCCUAACAACAGUUCCUCCUCUCUAGCUUACUUUACUGUAAUAAUACAGGAUAUAAUACAUAGACCAAGUAUGUGUUAAUUAACUGUUUAUGUCAUCAGCAAGGUUUCUGGUCAACAGUAGACUAUUAGUAGUUAAGUUUUUGGGGAGUCAAAGGUUAUCUAUGGAUUUUCAGCUGCACGGGGGUUGCUGCCCUUUAACCCACGAAUUGUUCAAUGGUCAAUUGUAUUCUUCCACAAGAUCAGCUUUAAAUUUUGUUUAUUUAUUUACUGUUUAUUAUUAUUAUUAUUAUUUGAGACAGGAUUGCGCUCUGUCGUCCAGGCUGGAGUGCAGCAGUGCUAUCCCCACUCACUGCAACCUCUGCCCCUGGGGCUCCAGAGAUCCUCCCACCUCAGCCUCUCAAGCAGCUGGGACUACAGGCACAUCCACCAAGCCCGGCUAAUUUUUGUAUUUUUAGUAGGGACAGGGUUUUACCGUGUUGGCCAGGCUGGUCUCAAACUCCUGGGCUCAAUUCAUCCACCUGCCUUGGCUCCCAAAAUACUGGGAUUACAGGCAUGAGCUGCCACUCCUGGCCUUCCACAAGAUCAUUUUAAAGAAUAUUUUGUAUUCCAUUGCACUAAUGCAUUAUAAUCACCAAACUCCAGUCGUAAGCCAGCAGGUAGUUUCCAAGUGCUGCCAUGCGCAAACAUUUUUGUAUACUUGGCUGGCUAUUCCCUUUGAGUGAAUUCCUAGAAGUAAAUUUGAAGGAGUAGAUGUAGAAUCUUCAGACUUUCACCGCGUCAGGCCGGGCACGGUGGCUCACGCCUGUAAUCCCAGCAUUGUGGGAGGCCAAUGCCGGUGGAUCACUUGAGGUCAGGAGUUUCAGACCAGACCAGACGGUGAAACCCCAUCUCUACCAGAAAUACAAAAAUUAGGCUGGGCACAGUGACUCACGCUGUAAUCCCAGCAUUUUGGGAGGCCGAGGUGGGAGGAUCAUGAGGUCAAGAGAUUGAGACCAUCCUGGCCAACAUGGUGAAACCCCGUCUCUACUGAAAAUACAAAAAUUGGCCUGGCGUGGUGGCACAGGCCUGUACUCCCAGCUACUCAGAAGGCUGAGGCAGGAGAAUCCCUUGAACCCGGGAGGCAGAAGUUGCAGUGAGCCUUGAGAUCAGGAGUUCAAGACCAUCCUGGCCAACGUGGUGAAACCCCGUCUCUACAAAAAAUACAAAAAAUUAGCUGGGGGUGGUGGCACACGCCUGUAAUCCCAGCUACUCAGGAGGCUGAGGCAGGAGAAUCGCUUGAACCUGGGAGGUGGAGGUUGCAGUGAGCUGAGAUCACACCACUGCACUCCAGCCUCAGUGACAAGAGUGAGACUCCGUCUCAAAAAAACAAAAAGAAUUAACUCCCAUAUAUGAGGAAGAACACUUUUUAGGCUGCUGUCAAUGAACAAAAGCAAAAACAGGAUUUUAAAAAGAGGGAAGGAGAAAAAGAGUAGUAUGGGAAGAGUGAUUUUUGUUUUUACAUUUUUUUAGCCAAUAGAUAGGCGGGUGGCUGGGCAAGGGCCCCACUAGGCCGUCUGCCCCUGAGCUGGCUGGCGGGGGCUGCGGGAGGCCGCCCUUUCCUUCUGGAUUCUCUGGGAAGCCAGGAGAGUUCAGCCGUGCCGUAUGCGACUGGGGGGCUCUGUGUGAGGUCUCUCAGGGCCCCUUUCCUUGGCCACAGCCCCUUGUUGAGGGGAGUCCUCAGCACUCCCUCCUCAGAAUGGCUCCCAGUAACUACCUCCUGGGGUUGGGACCGAACAGUAUCCGUGCCAACACCUAGAAACAUCGGAACAUCGCAGUCACUUCUGCCAUAACUCUUGUUUCAGAAACGCUAAUUUGUUCCAACAUGAUUGACAUAGUAGGGUACAAUCUGAGGUAAGUGUGAUUUUUUCAGUUAUUUAUGAGCGGUCUCAUUUCGGGCCCUGUGCUGGCCACGGAGACGUGGGGGACGGGGCUAGACGGCACCCGCGGUGAAACCUAAGGCAGCGGAAAAGCCAGCACCCUGCGCCCGUUGGCCUGGGCUUCCUCUGGGUCUCGGAUGUCGGAGACAAUUUUUCACUGGUUCCCCACGUUUCUGCAAGUCUCAGGAGCAGAUGCGCCGACGGCCUUUUGCUCUGGACUCUCGUCAAGGACGUGUAUAUAGUGAAAGUCUCGGCGCGCAGGGACAGCGUCUCCCUCUGGGGCAGAAGCGAGAUUUGCUCGCUGUCCAGUGUAACAAAGACGACGUCCACCCCCGGGAAAGGUUGGGCAGGUUUGCUUCGCAGCCCCUCAUGACAGUCCGGCGUUUCCUAAGCACGGGGAUCCCCGGCGGUGAGGCAAACCCAGCUGUGCCACAGAAUCCACCUGGGCCUCUGCGUAGCCCCCGUGGGGUUUGGGGAGCAAAGGAAACGGGAGUGAAGAGGAAGCUCGUUCACACUGAGCAACGUGCCGUGCCGUGAGUGACAGAGUCCUCUGCCCUGGGCCAGGGUCUCUGGUCUUCUGCCAGCGUCCUUCAACCAUGGCAG